rnacentral:rRNA from 1 species
GACGAACGCUGGCGGCGUGCUUAACACAUGCAAGUCGAACGAAGUGGCGCACGGGUGAGUAACGCGUAAUCAACCUGCCCUUCAGAGGGUGACAACAGUUGGAAACGACUGCUAAUACCGCAUACUGAAGGUGGGGAUUGCGUCUGAUUUGCUAUUUGGAGGGGUAACGGCCCACCAAGGCGAUGAUCAGUAGCCGGGCUGGGGGGAUGGACGGCCACAUGGGGACUGAGACACGGCCCAGACGCCUACGGGGGGCAGCAGUGGGGGAUCUUCCGACAUGGACGAAAGGCUGACGGAGCAACGCCGCGGGGGUGAUGACGGCCUUCGGGUUGUAAAGCUCUGUUAAUCGGGACGCGGUACCGGAAUAGAAAGCAACGGCUAACUACGUGCCAGCCGCCGCGGUAAUUC